AGGUAACUUUUAUAAGUCAAUACUGACCUAUACCGUAAAACGGUGUAAACAUAGAUAAGUGAAAUAACUACUCAAAAUCGAAACGGAAUAUUUAUUCUGUGUCUUUAGCUUCUCAUAUUGCAAUAUAUUGUUCGCCCCACUAUCGAAACUAGUACGUGGAUACUAUAUCGGAAGAACAAUCGAUUUGGUGCAAAUUACAAUCAGCCUGUUCCUUACUAUACCUGAAAUGGUGCGAAUUGUAUUUAUAUCAUUUUUAUUUCGGUACAAAGUACAAGCGCGUUUAAAAAAAAAUAAAUCGGCCCGAAUCGACUGCACCCGAAAUUGUCGUGCCGGGGUGACGCGCCUGACAAUAAACUUCACCUAUUUUUAACCCCGUUCCGGCGAAUCGCCGUGUCCGGUCGUCGAUUAAUGUCUUAUUUUUUUCUCUUUCCUGGAAUUUGUUCGUACCGACCGAAUUUACCCGCGUCUAUAAUAUAAUACGAGUAAUACCUCUACACACUCGUGUAUCUACGUGUUUUCCGAUCGGCAAAAUCGAAUGUUCCUCCGCGGUUCGUUUAGUUGUUUUUCCGGCGAAUUAUUUCCCGCGCGGAUUAGAAAAUAGUUAUAGAAGACCUAUGUACCAAUAUACGAGCGUAUAGAUAUGGGUAAUAGUUUCGCGAGACCGACCGUUUGAGUGGCACUAUACGGCUACAGGUUUAUAGGCGCGGGGCUCGAGGAUUUUUCCCCGGGCGCAGCCGUUGCCGGGUUCUUUCGGAAUAGUUUCGAAACUUUGUAGACGGUUCCGGCAUAUUGACGAAGAGCCGGUGUUUUACGCCGGAAACUUAGGUACCUACGAGGUAUACGCCGAAUUUCCCCUCCCCCCCCUCCUCGCAAUUAAAAAGAUGCCGGCUAACCGACCGUAAUCAAUUGCGCGCUAUAAUACCUGCGUAGGUAUAUGAUUAUACAGUACUGUACGCGGUUGUACGCCUCUAUACGUAUGCACGUAUAUUCGCACAUACGGUG